rnacentral:tRNA from 1 species
GCUUCUGUAGCUCAGUUGGUAGAGCAACGCAUUCGUAAUGCGUGGGUAGUGGGUCCGAGUCCCAUCAGAAGCU